rnacentral:rRNA from 1 species
UCAUUGUUGAGGCCCGAACGGAUGAUUGU